rnacentral:misc_RNA from 1 species
AAGUCGUAACAAGGUCAUCGUAGGUGAACCUGCGGUGGGAUCAUUAAAUACUUUAAUGCAGAGCGUAUUGUUGGUUGUUUUGAUCUGGGGCGCUUGUUCUUUGCUGGACGAGUGCUUUGGAGAUGAACUUCCAGCAUGGCUCUUCUUGUGCGAACCGAGUGAGCUGCAUCUAGUUUAUUCUAUAAUUAGUGUAUUCUAUGAUUAGUCUAUUCUUUAUGCAGCGCGAGAGCAGUUUUUGGCGUGCUUGUUGUUUGGAUGCAGAUGUGGCAUGACGCAGUUUAUUGCGACUAGCAUCAUCUCAUCCGCGCACUUCAUGCCACUGCUCUCUCUAUCUAUCAAAACACUAUCAACCAUUUAAAAACAAACAAGCACGAGGCGUAAAACACCUCUACAAUUCAAUUACAACUAUCCGUGGUGGAUCACUUGGCUCUU